rnacentral:rRNA from 1 species
UACGGGGGGGGGCAAGCGUUGUUCGGAAUUACUGGGCGUAAAGGGCGCGUAGGCGGCCGAUCAAGUCGGGGGUGAAAGCCUGGUGGCUCAACCACAGAAUUGCCUUCGAAUACUGUUUCGGCUUGAGACCGGAAGAGGUUAGUGGAACUGCGAGUGUAGAGGUGAAAUUCGUAGAUAUUCGCAAGAACACCAGUGGCGAAGGCGGCUGACUGGUCCGGUUCGUGACGCUGAGGCGCGAAAGCGUGGGGGAGCAACAGG